UAAUCUACCUUUGGAUGGGGAAUAACAAUCGGAAACGGUUGCUAAUACCGCAUAAUGCAGCGGCACCUAAUGGUGACAGUUGUUAAAGCGGGGAUCGAAAGACCUCGCGUCUGAAGAGGAGCCUGCGGCGGAUUAGCUAGUUGGUAAGGUAACGGCUUACCAAGGCUAUGAUCCGUAGCCGGCCUGAGAGGGCGGUCGGCCACACUGACACUGACAUACGGGUCAG
rnacentral:rRNA from 1 species